GCCUCCAGUGGCACAGUGGGUCAGUGCAUCUGGCUGUGAACCAGAAGGUUGGUGGUUUGAGCCCAUCCAGGGUCGCU
rnacentral:tRNA from 1 species